CCUACGGGGGGCAGCAGUAGGGAAUAUUGCUCAAUGGGGGAAACCCUGAAGCAGCAACGCCGCGUGGAGGAUGAAGGUUUUCGGAUUGUAAACUCCUUUUGUUAGAGAAGAUAAUGACGGUAUCUAACGAAUAAGCACCGGCUAAAUCCGUGCCAGCAGCCGCGGUAAUACGGAGGGUGCAAGCGUUACUCGGAAUCACUGGGCGUAAAGCGCGCGUAGGCGGGAUAGCAAGUCAGAUGUGAAAUCCUAUGGCUUAACCAUAGAACUGCAUUUGAAACUGUUAUUCUAGAGUAUGGGAGAGGUAGGUGGAAUGCUUGGUGUAGGGGUAAAAUCCGUAGAGAUCAAGAGGAAUACUCAUUGCGAAGGCGACCUGCUAGAACAUAACUGACGCUGAUGCGCGAAAGCGUGGGGAGCAAACAGGAUUAGAUACCCUAGUAGUC
rnacentral:rRNA from 1 species